rnacentral:rRNA from 1 species
CGGGAGUAAUGUCUGGGAAACGGCCUGAUGGAGGGGGAUAACUACUGGAAACGGUAGCUAAUACCGCAUAACGUCGCAAGACCAAAGAGGGGGACCUUCGGGCCUCAUGCCAUCAGAUGUGCCCAGAUGGGAUUAGCUAGUAGGUGGGGUAACGGCUCACCUAGGCGACGAUCCCUAGCUGGUCUGAGAGGAUGACCAGCCACACUGGAACUGAGACACGGUCCAG